GAAGAUUGAGAUGAACUGCAAGAUAAAGACAACUGUUAAUAGAGAGUACAAAUAUUGUAGACUUACUGGAGUGCCCUUUACAACUGUAGAAACAUGGGCUGGCACAGACCCUUCAGUAUCUGGAACUGGGGCAAGUCUUGAGAGUCCAAAAUCAGCAACCUUCGCAUUAAAACUAGAGUCAAGUAAUAUGUUGCUUGCCUUGAUAUCUCGGUGAAAAAUUGGAGGAUUGGCUUCAGUAUGUAGGUAUGAUAUACCCUUCGCUGAACCUAAGGCAAUUCUCAAUCUCAUCGCAAAACUCAAGGGUUCUUUAGACUUAGCUGCAAUACCGCACGAGGUUUAUCAACUAUGUAGCUCAUCAUAUAAUCAUAUGGACAUCUUACCAGUUCUUAUAUUUUAUAAAGAAAAGAAAAAGAUAUGCUCUUUAGUUGAUUCUUGCUCAUUAUAGUUUUCCGGAAUGACUGAUGGAGGAUAAAAAAGACAAAGUCCAAAGGGGAAAUAUGAGAUUUACCAGAAAGAUGAUCUCUAAGAGUGCCAUUUGGCAUAAACUCAUAAACCAACAUCUGCAGGCACAAUGGAAAUACAGUUGAGCUUUUUCCUCAAUGAUAAUUUUUAACGCUACUGAAGCAAGAAAGAGAAUAUCAAGUAAUUAUAUUUGGAUUUUUCUUAUGGAUGGAGGCAGUAUCAGAGUUGUAGAUAAACCUUGCUGCAACUCCUAAAUACCAUUUCUAGAAAGAAACUGUUUCUUUUUUUUUUGCUUGAAAUCUAAAACUCUGGAAAGAUAAAAGAAGCUACCUGUUCACCUUCUUCGUCACAAUAUCCAGUCAAAGAAACAAGAUUUCUAUGAUGUAGCCUUGACAACAAUUCUAUUUCUGUUAAGAACUCUUUCUCACCCUGUAAAGAAUGCUCCUGGGCACGUUUGAUGGCCACAAGUGUACCAUCAGCCAGGAUGCCUUUGUAAACUUUUCCAUAUCCUCCUUGACCAACUUGAGUGGAGCUGCUAAAAUUGUUUGUUGCCAGGGCCAUUUCAGAAUAAGAAAAGUCCUUCACACCAUCAAUUUUCAUGGAGGCUUUAGAUGCUAUACAUAAAUAAGGCACCAUGUUAGAGAUGGAACUGUUAAAACCAAUAAAUUUUCAUUAUCAAAUGCUAGAGCAACAUUACAUAUCAAUCUCAGAAAAUUUCAGCACAAAUUGUAUGUUUUGACCAUUUACAAGAAUAUAGAAUAAUUUAUCAGAAGAUGAUAUUUUCCAUGACAUUCACCUAUAGGUGAUUUAAUUGCUUUUGGGUUUAUACAUAUGCAGGUUAAUACAUCAGUUUUCUCCGACAUGGCCAGAGGUAGACAUUUUACACACUUUUAAUUGCAGAAGAAGUGAGAGAAGGAAGAUUGAGAUGAACUGCAAGAUAAAGACAACUGUUAAUAGAGAGUACAAAUAUUGUAGACUUACUGGAGUGCCCUUUACAACUGUAGAAACAUGGGCUGGCACAGACCCUUCAGUAUCUGGAACUGGGGCAAGUCUUGAGAGUCCAAAAUCAGCAACCUUCGCAUUAAAACUAGAGUCAAGUAAUAUGUUGCUUGCCUUGAUAUCUCGGUGAAAAAUUGGAGGAUUGGCUUCAGUAUGUAGGUAUGAUAUACCCUUCGCUGAACCUAAGGCAAUUCUCAAUCUCAUCGCAAAACUCAAGGGUUCUUUAGACUUAGCUGCAAUACCGCACGAGGUUUAUCAACUAUGUAGCUCAUCAUAUAAUCAUAUGGACAUCUUACCAGUUCUUAUAUUUUAUAAAGAAAAGAAAAAGAUAUGCUCUUUAGUUGAUUCUUGCUCAUUAUAGUUUUCCGGAAUGACUGAUGGAGGAUAAAAAAGACAAAGUCCAAAGGGGAAAU
rnacentral:lncRNA from 1 species